rnacentral:lncRNA from 1 species
AAUCUGCAGAAAGAAUGGACAAAUAAAAUGAAGACAAAAAACCUGCAGAUUCCAAGCCACCCUUGCCUGCUUUUGCAUUGCUUCUUUAAUUUUCCAGAAGCUGCACUAAUAGAUGCGGACUCAAAACAUGUCUUCACAGUCACAGCAUGGGUUUUCAAUCAGAACUGGAAUCGUAGAAGUCACUUGGGCAUGGGGUCAUAACCUCAGAUUCAAGUACUUGAACCACCCUGUGCAUGGUGGGUCUAUCCUCUGGGCUCGAAGAAACACAUUGGAUGGCAA